CCCGGCCGGUAAUCCGAAAAAACGAAAGUGAAACUUAUGGGGAGAAAAAGGCAUGCACAAGCGGUAGCAACGAUAAAAUGAUUAGACAAUCUGGCAAAGAGUGUCUGUAGUCAGCAUGCUUAAAUAGUGUGGCAGAGUAUAAAAAGGUAUUAACUCGGAAGUGCCACACCCAAGAUGGUUGCUGCCCCGGAAGUGGCCGCUUCACACCCGAGUGAGCAGGCAAACUAUGACAGUACCCUCUCUCCUACGGGCGUCUCAUGACGACCAAGCAGGCUAGUCAGGAUGCAAUCUGUGGAACUCGGUGAUGAGGUCAGGGUCAAGGAUGUGACUAGCCGGGACCCAAGAACGCUCCUCAGGACCAUAGCACUCCCAAUCGACCAGGUACUGUAUUCCCCUCUCACGAUGCCUGGAGCGUAUGAGGCAACGGACAAUGAAUGCAGCGCCCCUGUUGAUGAACCGGGUGGGUGGAGCGGGGUCUGGAGGAGGGAGAACAAAUUGUUGAAUAAAAUCGCUCGUUUUGUUUUCUUUGCACACAAAAGUGUUCUCGUCACUUCAUAAUAUUAUUGAAUGGCUGAUGGCACAUGGACCUUUUUGCUGAUGUCUUUCAUUCAUUUCUGGGGAACAGAAUUGUGAAACUAACUGAAGUCAAUGGGACAGAAAGAAGCCUCCUGGUUUUCAUCAAAAAUGUGUUCUGAAGACAUUCGAGUCACUUGGUCUUUUAGAACGACACAGGGAUGACAGAUGUUAUUAAUCACAGAAGGACUACUGCUUUGAAAGGCCUGCCUUUGUUUCUUCGAGAGGACCCAAACAAGCUGUUCAAGACAUGCAAAAACACUGAAGAUGGUGGGUGUCUAUUGCCAUUCUGUGUGUUUUGGAAGAUGACACCCAGGCGACAUCAACCGAGGUUGUAAACAUUGCUGUUGUGUUGGAGCAGGUUGUCUUUUUGAAACAUCUCCCUAUUCUUAAAAUCUUAAGUACACUUUUGACACUAUUCAGAAUGUUUUCAUGGAGCUGGGAUCUGGAUGCACCAAACUUGUGCUUUCUCUCAAGAACAAACUGUUGUAAAGAAAAUCAGAAGAGUGUUUUUGGAUACCUUUUUGGUGUUCAUUUGUUACAAGACCUAAAGUGCAGCUUUGAUACAAGGUCUGGGGAUUCUUUUAGUUGGCAUCUCUUUUUCUUGUCAAUAGAUGUAAAACUGUGUUUUAUAAUUGUAAUUUUGAAGUACAGCUUGCAUACUAGGUCUGGUUAAUUGUUGCAGUUAACAUGUCUGUUUCUUAUAAACUGUUCGUUUAACAGUUGUAUGAAAAUUGUCAUUUUAAAAGGAUAGUUCACCCAAAAAAACUGUGACAUUUUGUCACUCUUAUUUUGUUAUAAACCCAUAUAAAUUUCUUUAUUCUGAAGAACAUGAAGGAAGAUACUUUGAGGAAUGUUUGUAACCAAACUGAAGUUAAUGGGGCGCAUGAUCGGUUUGAUUACAAACAUCCUUAACAAAGACAUUUAUACAGGUUUGUAACAACAUGGGAGUAAGUGUCAGGACUCAGCCCGGACUUUUGGCCACGUGCCUUUUGUUUAUCUUCUUCGUCACAUGUCUGCCCCGCCUUCGUCUGCCCCUCCCUGUCUCCACACCUGAUCCUUAUUG